rnacentral:tRNA from 1 species
GGGGUUGUGGCUCAGUGGUAGGGCACUUGCUUAGCAUGUAUGAGGCACUGGGUUCGAUUCUCAGCACCA